UCGUAGGAGGUUAUACAGGCAAAUCCGUAUAACAAUACUCCGAGAACUGAAAGGCUUUUUGAAGUCUUCGGAUGGAUAGAAGAACCCCUGAUGCCGUCGAGCCAAGAAAAGUUUCUAAGUUUAGCUAAUGUUGCCCGUACCGUAAACCGACACAGGUGGGUGGGAUGAGUAUUCUAAGGCGCGUGGAAGAACUCUCUUUAAGGAACUCUGCAAAAUAGCACCGUAUCUUCGGUAUAAGGUGUGGUUCGCUUCGUAUUAGGAUUUACUCCGAAAGCGAAGAAACUUACAACAAAGAGUCCCUCCCGACUGUUUACCAAAAACACAGCACUCUGCUAACUCGUAAGAGGAUGUAUAGGGUGUGACGCCUGCCCGGUGCUCGAAGGUUAAUUGAUGGGGUUAGCAUUAGCGAAGCUCUUGAUCGAAGCCCGAGUAAACGGCGGCCGUAACUAUAACGGUCCUAAGGUAGCGAAAUUCCUUGUCGGUUAAAUACCGACCUGCAUGAAUGGCGUAACGAGAUGGGAGCUGUCUCAAAGAGGGAUCCAGUGAAAUUGUAGUGGAGGUGAAAAUUCCUCCUACCCGCGGCAAGACGGAAAGACCCCGUGGACCUUUACUACAGCUUGACACUGCUAUUUGGAUAAGAAUGUGCAGGAUAGGUGGGAGGCUUUGAGUAUAUGACGCCAGUUGUAUAUGAGCCAUUGUUGAGAUACCACUCUUUCUUAUUUGGGUAGCUAACCAGCUUGAGUUAUCCUCAAGUGGGACAAUGUCUGGUGGGUAGUUUGACUGGGGCGGUCGCCUCCCAAAUAAUAACGGAGGCUUACAAAGGUUGGCUCAGAACGGUUGGAAAUCGUUCGUAGAGUAUAAAGGUAUAAGCCAGCUUAACUGCAAGACAUACAAGUCAAGCAGAGACGAAAGUCGGUCUUAGUGAUCCGGUGGUUCUGUGUGGAAGGGCCAUCGCUCAAAGGAUAAAAGGUACCCCGGGGAUAACAGGCUGAUCUCCCCCAAGAGCUCACAUCGACGGGGAGGUUUGGCACCUCGAUGUCGGCUCAUCGCAUCCUGGGGCUGGAGCAGGUCCCAAGGGUAUGGCUGUUCGCCAUUUAAAGCGGUACGCGAGCUGGGUUCAGAACGUCGUGAGACAGUUCGGUCCCUAUCUGCCGUGGGCGUAAGAAGAUUGAAGAGAUUUGACCCUAGUACGAGAGGACCGGGUUGAACAAACCACUGGUGUAGCUGUUGUUCUGCCAAGAGCAUCGCAGCGUAGCUAAGUUUGGAAAGGAUAAACGCUGAAAGCAUCUAAGCGUGAAGCCAACUCUAAGAUGAAUCUUCUCUAAGCUCUCUAGAAGACUACUAGUUUGAUAGGCUGGGUGUGUAAUGGAUGAAAGUCCUUUAGCUGACCAGUACUAAUAGAGCGUUUGGCUUAUCUUU
rnacentral:rRNA from 1 species